CGGGUUUUCUGAUUUUCUUGAUGUAAACAUGGCAGCCAUGGUGAUUUAACCUUCUGAAGAUUCCUAUUGUUUUGCUGGAUAUAAUCAGGAUAUCUCAUGGUUUGAAGAUGGCUUUUUAUUCAAUGGCGAGUGAGAAAACAAGAUCUGAAAGUAACAGUUGGGAGCAUAUAAAGCAGACCUUACCCUCAUAGAUUUUGUGACGUCAUAGUUGCUGGACAGAAUACAUUUGGAUCUGACUGGGAAAAAAGGCAUCAUCAAUCCAGCAAGUUGAGUCUGUGUUAAUAACCAUGGACAUAAAACUCAC